CCUACGGGUGGCAGCAGUGGGGAAUAUUGGACAAUGGGCGAAAGCCUGAUCCAGCCAUGCCGCGUGUGUGAAGAAGGCCUUCGGGUUGUAAAGCACUUUCAGUGGGGAAGAAAGCCUUGGGGCUAAUACCCUCGAGGAAGGACAUCACCCACAGAAGAAGCACCGGCUAACUCCGUGCCAGCAGCCGCGGUAAUACGGAGGGUGCGCGCGUUAAUCGGAAUUACUGGGCGUAAAGCGCGCGUAGGCGGUCUGAUAAGCCGGUUGUGAAAGCCCCGGGCUCAACCUGGGAACGGCAUCCGGAACUGUCAGGCUAGAGUGCAGGAGAGGAAGGUAGAAUUCCCGGUGUAGCGGUGAAAUGCGUAGAGAUCGGGAGGAAUACCAGUGGCGAAGGCGGCCUUCUGGACUGACACUGACGCUGAGGUGCGAAAGCGUGGGUAGCAAACAGGAUUAGAUACCCGUGUAGUC
rnacentral:rRNA from 1 species